ensembl:lncRNA
GUGAAGUAGCACUGGCCAAGCAGCCAAUUAGUUGAGAAGCGCAGGUGGAGAAGCAUGUGAUGAGUCCUGGAGCUGCAAGGAGGUGCACAGCACUGCUGGUGCCCGGUGUGUGCUGAGAGGAAACAGCUGGUGGAUCUCCUCUGAAGCAUUUUGGUUUGAUUUUCACCCAGAGGGUGGUGACGCACUGAACAGGUUGCCCAAGGAGGCUGUGGAUGCCCCAUCCCUGCAGGCAUUCAAGGCCAGGCUGGAUGUGGCUCUGGGCAGCCUGGGCUGCUGGUUGGCGACCCUGCACAUAGCAGGGGGUUGGAACUGGAUGAGCACUGUGGUCCUUUUCAACCCAGGCCAUUCUAGGAUUGUGUGAUUGAUUCUAUGAUUCUUGAAUGUGAGAGCUUCAUCUCUGGAAAGAAAUAAGUUGCCAAUAUGCAGGCAGAGGCGGCUGCAGUGCCGGAGUAAUAGGCGUUAAAAUGCAUUUCAGGUCUCCAACGUGUGCAGCAGGCAUCCCCCUGACCAAGGGCAAAUCCCAGAUCCCAUCCACAGGCGAGGAAGGGUGGAGGCAGGGUCCAGCUUGGAGUUGGAAGGAAACUGAACAAGGCUCCAUUUGGGGCGGUGGGUGCUGGUCUGGUGGCUUCUGCCCUCUGUGGAGAGCACUCUCCUGGUCCAAAGAUGCUCCCGCUGCAGAUUAACCUUGAAGAGAACAACGUUUGAAUGUAGAGAUGCUGUUCCUCUGUGUGGAUUUGGACAUGUUGGAGAACUUUGCAGCUGCCGAGAGGGAGUCCUUCCCUCUGGGCAGGCUCUUUUGUUUAAAAGAAAGAAAUGAGGGCAAUUUUCCACUUGCUAUGGUAUAGCACAGCUUUGGACAGGCAGGAGUUACGGAGGAGGGGGGUGGAACAGAUAUACUGCUUCAGCUCCUUCUCGUACACCAUCCUUGCUAAAAACUGGCAGGUCAAAAGCGGCGUUUGUUUCUAAAACUGUCCUCAUGCCCUGAUUUCAGGGAUCUGCAGAGCAAGUGCAGGUGAAAAUAAUGUGACAUCUGAUGGUAGAAGGCACACAGAGCAACGCAAAAGGCAGAGCCUGCAAUCUGCUUUUAGAUCAGCUUGUUUCUUGCAUAGGUAACAGCACAGCCAGGAGAGAACUCCAUGCACCAGGGCUUUGGUCUUGUGCUCUCUGAGUCCUAUAAAGCUGUCCCUCCUGAAAACUGUUCUGCAUGAUGGGGAGAAGGUUCUUCAGCACACAUUUGUCUGCAUAGCAGUGGUCUUAUUGCCACUGCCCCAGAUGACAGGGAUUUGCUGUGAGCUCC